rnacentral:lncRNA from 1 species
UUGAAUUAUAUAUAAAAUCAAAUUAUUUUUCAAAAAUAAAUAAAAUAUAAAUUACAAGUUAAUUAUUUAAUUUACAAAACAAAAAUUGAAAAUCAAAUUACUUUCUUCUCUCCCCAGAUCCACCGCUCCCUUUUCCACGCGCCACCAGUUUGCUGAGAUUUUUGUUUAAUCUCUCCCCAUUGAUGAAGUUCCACCGUCAUCUCUCCCUUUUUCCCUUCAGAUUUCUCUCGUGCAUCUCUCUCUCCACCUCCAUCGAGGAUCUACCCCCAUCUUAUAUUGGAAAGAGAUGUGAUGAACUCUUUUAGUGAAUCCAGAUUGUUUUUUCUUCAGAUCUGUAGUAUAAAUAAGAUCUACAUCAACAAUAAGUCAAGUCUAACGAGGAUCAUAAGAAAGGUGAUACCUUCUGUAGUAAAACAAGACAACGAAUCAAGCACCUUGUGUCCCAAAACCUCAAGAUCUCACAACGCCGAACACGAGCUCAUCUUCGUCACCGAGAAACUUAUUAAUCGAAGAAGAAAAACAGAGAAAAUAACAUGGGAUUAACUUCUUAUCCAAAUCUCACGUGAUGCUGAGUCCAUUUAACUUAACACCUUCGAACAAAAAUCUGGUGAUGGAGAUGUAAAGAGGAAGAAGAAGAUGACUAUGUGAUUAUGUGAAUUUACGUUUGUGAUUCUGCUUCUUCCACUUUGUUUUGUGGUUAAAAGAGUAUCUCUUUUCUGAUUGGUUGAAACAAGAAGAAGUGGAUCACUUCUCUUUUGAUAUCAAUCGUUGGAUCUGAAUUUAAUCAACAAACUGCUUUUGCCAUUAUCAAUUUUUUUUUUUAUUGAAAAAGAUAUAAUAAAAUUUCCUACCAAA